AUGACAUUUCGUUGUUGGUUCAUGGUGCUAUUUGUCACUUCACACAACUAAAAAUCAUACUUAAAAGUAUAU